UUCCUUCUCUCUCAUCAUCGUUUUCUCACCUUUAUUAUUUCAUUGAUUUUGUUCCGCAUUAAAUCAAAUUACAACACCUUGUUUUCUAACACUCAUAUAUGCUCUAAUCUUAUGUUAUUAAUUUCAAAUAUUGCCAAAUAUCCAAAUAUCCUCCGAUAUCCUUGUUUUAAUACAUGACAUGCUAGAUCUUUCGAUUGAUACUUUCCAAAACUUUGUUUGUGACUUUCAAGGCAGGGGCGGAUCCAGGAUUCCUGGUGAGGGGUAGUGUAAUUUUACGAUACCAUCGAGUGCAAAGAAAUUCACAACUACUAAAUUCAAAAUGUUACAAAAUCCUAAUACAACCUAAAAAUGUUUUAGUAAAAGAACUACAAUUGUUCACAACAAGUUCUCAAAUUCUAGAACAAUUUAGCAAUUGCAUCAAUUUUAUAUCCAAAAACAAAUCCUUCUUCAAGAUAAAUAACUAAACUAUGUUUCAAAAAUUCAUCUCGCUCGCUAUUUUGUAAUUUGCUUUUGAUUUGAGUCAUUCUAGAGAAUCCAUUCACUAACAAUUUAUUUACUAAUCAAUAUAGACACAUGACACAAGAAUUUACUAAUCACUUUUAACAAAUCGAUUCAGUACUAACCAUUCACUAACAAUCUAUUCACCAAGUAACAAUUCAUUCACUGACAAUACGAAUCCAUUCACUAACCAGCUAGUGAAAAUUCAUUAACGAUCCAAAAACCUACAAGUAAAAAUUUACUAACAAAUUCCUUCCCAAAAAUACAAUAAACUAACAAUAAUUUACUAAUAAUUCUUUGACAAACAAUUAAAAUUCACUGGGAAUCAAAGUUUAUACAUAACCAUCAAGAUAUCAAAGAAAAGGAAGAAAAAAAAGUACCUGGAUCCCUAAAACAAGAACAACAAUAAUGCUUCCAAGGAAUUUACCAAAAGAAGAUGUUUUAUUCGGUAAACAAGAUCUUAACUGCACAACUACAAUCUGCAAUGAAGAGGACAACCAUGAUCGAGGUCGGAGGUCGGAACAACGGCACAACCGCGAAGAAGUUAAUGGAGGUUGGAGGCUAACGAAGAGGUGAACGAAUCCCAAGGCAAGAUUCAAAAUUCUGAAGAGAUGGGAGGAGAGAGAAUGCGGAGGCGAGGAGAGAGAAGAGGAAAGGACAGUCACGCAGCGGAAAGUAGGGUUUAUUUGUUUUUCAUUUUUCAGCGCUUCUUUUUCUUUUAAAAAAAAUCAAUUUUUUUUAUAAAAAUCAGGGGUAGCACGUGCUACCCCUUAUUACCACGUGGCUCCGCCACUGUUUCAAGGUACAUGUUGAGGAUUUCGCUAAUCCAACUUAUAACUCUUUUCCUCACUUUGCAAUGGUAAUAACUAAUAAGAACAGUGUAAUUAAGUCAGAAGUGCGGAUCAAUGACUUGCUAGAUGCUACUGAUCUGUAUGUUUCUCUUUUUUUUUUUUUUGGUGAACAAGGAGUAUGUUUGUCUCUUCAAUGCAAAAUUUUCAGGGAUGUAUAUACCAAAAGGCAAAAAGUAAAGGUAAGUAAGCUGUACCAUUCUACCAUACAACAAAGGAGGGCACAGCAAUAAUCGGCCUUGUAUGAUUGUAUCACUUCAUCACCUGUAUUCUCACCUGUAAUUGUAUAUAUAAAAGGAUAGAAGGAACUUUUUAUACUUUAGGUCUGUAAUAUAUCAUCUAUAUAUAUAGUGCCAAGGUUGAUGACAAACCAGUCAUAAAUAUUCAUCCUCGAGUUGUUGUUUCAUUCUUAAAAUGGAGGAGGAUUUUCUCAUUCUCAUUCAUUUGUUUGCUGUGAUGAAUACACAGCUAUAUAUAGAGAAGAAGAGUUGUCCAAGAGAAGGACAGUGACUCAUCAACCUUUACACCAAUGACAGCCUAGAUUAGUGUAUCACAAGAAGACAAAAUAACUUCCUAGUACACCUAGUACUAAUAACAGAAACAGUUUAGGUAGUGGUGCACAGGCGCACACACUUUGUUGCCUACAAUUCUAGCACACUAAGUUUAUUAUGAGAGAUAAAAUAUCUUCCUUGCUCAAUACUCCCCCUCAAGCUGAGAGUGAAGGAUGAUACUGAACUCCAAGCUUGUGCAAGAUAGAGUUGUGCUGCUUAGUGGGGAGAACUUUAGUGAAAACAUCUGCAAUUUGGUGCUUAGAGGGAAUGUAGACUGGAGUGAUGAUGCCAGCAUUGGUAGUGUCCCUAAUGAAGUGGCAGUCAAUGUCUACAUGUUUAGUUUUUUCGUGAUGCACAGGGUUAGUAGCUAUUGCAAGAGCAGCUUGGUUGUCACAAUGUAAGGGGGUGCUACCCAAAUGUUUGACACCAAGGUCUUUUAGAAGUUGUUUCAACCACAUCACUUCACAUACUGUCAUGGCAAUGGAUCUGUAUUCUGCUUCUGCUGUGCUUCUUGCUACUACAGAUUGUCUCUUGGAUUUCCAAGAGAUAGGGGACCCACCAAGUAGGAUGCAAAAACCUGUAGUAGAUCUUCUAGUAGAGGGGCAGCCUGCCCAGUCACUGUCACAAUAGGCAGAGAGCUUGGCUUGAGAGUGGUUGGCAAGAAGUAUGCCUUGCCCAGGAGCUCCAGCAAGGUACCUUAGAACUCUUUUACUGGCUUGAAGAUGUACAGUAGUUGGGUUGUGCAUAAAUUUGCUCAGCACAUGCACAGUGUAGGCUAUAUCUGGCCUUGUCAAAGUAAGGUAAAUGAGUUUACCCACAAGCUUCUGAUACUCUUCAGGAUGGGAGAGAGUGUCUCCUGUUUCACUUGUCAGCUUAAGGUGAGUGUCCAUGGGAAGUCUCAGGGUUCUGCAAUUCUUUAGACCAUAUUCUUGGAGGAGAUCCAACACAUAUUUCUUCUGGGAAAGAAAUAUGCCACCCUUCAUUCUAUCCACUUCAAUCCCCAAGAAAUAUCUCAGCUCCCCCAUGUCUUUCAUGUGAAAUUGAGAGGAAAGAAACUCUUUAGCUUGAGUUAUACCUUGCAUAUUGUUCCCAGCAAUGACAAGAUCAUCAACAUAGACAAGUAUGGUGGUGAAGUUGCCUGUUUCAUGUUUGGUGAACAAAGAGUAGUCUGACUUAGAUUGUAUGAAGUUGUUGCUUUUCAAUGCAUUGCUCAAUUUGGCAAACCAUUGCCUAGGAGCUUGCUUGAGUCCAUAGAGGGACUUGAGCAAUCUACACACAGAAGUUGGUUGGGCUGUGUUGCUCACAUUCUCCCCCUGUGACUGUACUUGCAAUCUGCUGCCAUGACCACUAUACCCUGGUGGAAAUUUCAUGAAGACUCUUUCCUGCAAUUCACCAUGCAAAAACGCAUUUUUAACAUCCAUUUGGUGAACAAACCAUCCUUUUAUGGAGGCCACAGCUAACAAGGACCUCACAGUAGCCAUUUUAGCCACAGGAGCAAAAGUUUGCUCAUAGUCCACCCCAUACUUUUGCCUAUUUCCCAUGACAACAAGCCUAGAUUUGUAUCUAUCAAUACUCCCAUCUGCAUUAUACUUGGUUUUGUAAAGCCAUUUACAUCCUAUGGCUACUUUACCAGGAGGCAAGGUAGUGAUCUCCCAGGUUUCAUUGCUCUCAAGUGCAUCUAGCUCCUCAUUCAUAGCUUGCACCCACUUAGCUUCUUUAACAGCCUCUCUAAAGUGUUUAGGUUCAUGUUCACUUUCUACAUGACUCAUAAAGCAGGAGAAUUGUUGUGUUACAUGGGUGUUACCCACACUAUGAAUGUGAUUAGGGGACUCAGUCACAGUCAUGUUUGAUGUGUGAUAAUUCUCAUGCCAUUGAGGGGCUCUAUGUGGUCUGCUAGACCUUCUUAGGACAGGUUCAGUAGGGAGAUGAUGUUCAUCAGGUUCAUCUGCCAGGUGUGAGUCAGUGAUAUGAAUAGGUUCAGCUGGGAUGUUUUGUGGUGCUUCAUAGGACUCACUGUCACACUCUAAGCUAGGGGUGAUAGAGAUGGGAGGUGUGUUAGGAUGGUUAUCAGGUGUUAUAUUUGUGAGGUUAAGGACCUUGUAUGGGUAUAUGUUUUCAUAAAAUUUUACAUCUCUACUUACAAACAUUGUAUUGUUUGUUAGAUUGAGAAGUUUGUACCCCUUUUGGGUUUGAGGAUACCCAAGAAAUAUGCAGGGGACUCCUCUUUCAAGGAAUUUAUCAUGUUGCUUGCUUGGAUUGCUAGCCAUUACAAGGCAACCAAAGGUUCUCAAAUAAUGAUAUUUAGGUUUAGUUUGAAACAUUACCUCAUAGGGGCUCUUGUUUUGCAGAAGAGGAAUAGGAAGCCUGUUGAUUAUGUGAACAGCUGUGAGCACACUAUCACCCCAGUAUUGAAGUGGCAGCCCUGACUGAAAUCUAAGAGCCCUACCCAUCUCCAAAAUGUUCCUGUGUUUCCUUUCAACCCUUCCAUUUUGCUGGGGCCUGUCCACACAUGAGGUUUGAUGAAUGAUUCCCAGUUCAUCAAACAACAACCGACAAUGCUUGUCUUCAAACUCCAAGGCAUUGUCUGACCUGAUAAUCUUCACCUCUUUCUGAAAUUGGUUUUUUGCCAUUUUCACAAAUCUUUCAAUUGCACUGUAGGCAUCAGAUUUACAUUUCAGUAAGUGCACCCAUGACACUCUACUGUGAUCAUCUACCAUGGUCAAGAAGAACUUGUGGUUGUGUCUGGUGCUCACCUUAUAAGGUCCCCAUAUGUCUAUGUGUAUCAUAUCAAAGAUGUCUACAGCUCUAGACUUGCUCAAAGUAUAUGGGAGCUUUGUGAAUUUAGCAAUUGGACAUGUGAUGCACACAUCCUGGCUAUGCUUAUCAAACCCUUUCAAUCCCUCAAUGUUGCUCAGUUUGGCUAAGGGAGCAUGCCCUAGCCUUUGAUGCCAUAAAGUGGUGCUUGAGUUUUGUGGCACACCACUGAUUGUGUUUGGUAUAUUUACUUUGCAAGCUGCACUCAUUCUCCUUGUACCCACACACAUUGUAUUGUCUGGCUUUGGAUUGCUACACAUCUCUCUUGUUACACCACUUACCACCUUCUUCAUAUCUUCAUUCACUAGAUAAUACAAACCGUUCACUGCUUUCCCCACUGCUAUCACUCUUGUACCCUCUGUAUUCACAAUCAUGCAGUAUGUGUCAUAGAAGUUGAUCUUGCACCCAGUGUCCUUGAUCAAUCUCUGAACUGACAGCAGGUUAUGUUUGAAUGUGGGCACAUACAACACAUUCUUCAGCAUCAAGUUGUUUUCAAGCUUUACUUGCCCUGUGUGAGAAAUCACAGAUGUGUCUCCAGUUGGUAAGUUCAGCUUGGGUUCUCUUUUGCUCUUCACAGCAUCAAUUAGGAGGUUAAAGGACCCUGUGAUGUGGUCAGUUGCCCCUGAGUCAACUAUCCACUCACAUUUAUUGCUCUCUGCAUAACAACAGGUAAUCAUGCCUGCAUAUGAGCACUCCAUUUCAUCAUCACUUUCUGAAGCUCCUCCUUUAGAAGGAGUGGGGAGGAGUUUCAUGAGUUGCUCCAGUUGUUGAGGAGUUAUCACAGCACCUGUGUUUACACCUGAGGAGCUCUUAGUGCUUCCUUGUAUUGCUGCAGCAAUCUUUACACCAGGUCUAGUGUUUUUGCCUCCCUUCUUCCAAUUUUGACCCCUGAAGCUACUUUGUUCUUUCAUUUUCCCUCUCUGCUCUUUUUCAUGUUUGGGGUGCCACUGUGGGUAACCAACAACAAACCAACACACUUCUUUGUUGUGUCCUUGUUUCCCACACACACUGCAUCCUCCUUCUUUCCCUUUAGUGAACAUGGCUAUAGCUUCCACUUCUUCCUUUACAGGUCUCAGCAUGUCCCUCUGACAUUCUUCUUGUUGAAGGCUACUACAUGCUGUUUCUACACUAGGAAGGGUACUCAUCAUGAGCAAGUUGCUUCUUUGUGGACCAUACACCUCAUCAAGGCAUUUAAGAAAUUGGAAAAGCUUCUGCUCUUCCUGUUGUUGAUUCAGAGCAACAAUGAAAGCAUUUAUCUCAGUGUUCACAGUGCUAAUGGGAGGAAGAUGAUUUAGGGCAUCCAACUCUUCCCACAGACCCCUCAUAUCAGUGUAGUAAUCUGUUAUACUAUUUCCCUGCUGCUUAAUCUCAUAGAGUUCUUUGUUCAGCCUGUACUUUCUUGAGCCAUUAGAAACUAGGAAUCUUUUCUCCAAAAAUUUCCAGAUUUCAGAAGCAUGUUCAACAAACAUUAUAGACUUCUUGAUAGGUUCUGAGACAUUGAACAAGAUCCAGGAUAUUACCAUGUUAUUACAGGUAUCCCAGGCCUCUUGCUUCACAGUAUCACUGUCAUCUCUCUUAACAACACCAGUUACAAACCCUAUUUUCCUUUUUGAGGCAAGACUUAUUUCUAAAGAUCUCUUCCAGGAUCUAUAGUUGCUGGCCCCUUGAAGUUUUUCUAUGUUGAUAGAACUACUUCCAUCUGAUGGAUGUAGGUAUAAAGGACUAGUGAACUCGAUUUUUGUACCAGUCAUUUUAAGAACUUCUUAUGAAGGAACAACACUAUUAUAUUACUCUAGGAAUAAAAGCAACACAGAUUUUAAAUCACAUUCAUCACCAUAAGCAGGUUACUUUAACAGUGAGAUGGUUGAGAAAACUUACUGACGUUUGUGAUUUUGAAGGAAAUCUGAUGUAUAGGCUCUGAUACCAUGAUGACAAACCAGUCAUAAAUAUUCAUCCUCGAGUUGUUGUUUCAUUCUUAAAAUGGAGGAGGAUUUUCUCAUUCUCAUUCAUUUGUUUGCUGUGAUGAAUACACAGCUAUAUAUAGAGAAGAAGAGUUGUCCAAGAGAAGGACAGUGACUCAUCAACCUUUACACCAAUGACAGCCUAGAUUAGUGUAUCACAAGAAGACAAAAUAACUUCCUAGUACACCUAGUACUAAUAACAGAAACAGUCUAGGUAGUGGUGCACAGGCGCACACACUUUGUUGCCUACAAUUCUAGCACACUAAGUUUAUUAUGAGAGAUAAAAUAUCUUCUUGCUCAAUAAAGGUUAACCACAUUCAUCUUCAUCACUUGUACAAGUACAUCUUUAUUAUUAAUCUAAACAGAUUGCACAUACAACAGUCAACAUGGGAAACCAAGAAUUUCUGUUUGUAGUAACCACAUAUGUACACUAUGUUGUCAUAAAAUGCGAGAAGUCUAACAAUAUGAAGGAAUCGAUAGUUCUGCCAGCAGCCAUCACCCAGAAAGAUAAUAAGAGGACAAUCAUGGAGCCAUACAAGAAAGAAGACGGAUGCGAUCUUUGAUAGGAGAAUAAUCAGGAGGUACUGAUGUUUCGAUAGAACUUCCGAAGCAGCCUUACAAUCUGUUUCAUUACAUUUCAAGAUAAUUAUAUUCCAUGAUGUAAUUGAUGAAAGUUUUCUCAAUCAUCAAGUUUAAUAAACACUAAGCAGAUUGUCUGAGAUGAGGAAAAAAAAAAGUAGCUGAGUUUUGGUUUUCACCUUAGAAUGUUUGGAAAAUUUGGCCCCGUUUACUUUCAGGGUUCUUGUGCUAUGGGUCACUUCAAACAACCUAUUAGACGGUCUUUCUGAUGUAGACCUUUCCUCUGUUACAAAACAUCUUUGUGCUAAUAUUCUUGCUGUAAUGGAGUUUCCUGUCUUUGUGGCAUACUGUAAAGGCGAGUUGCCAUCACAAUCUUGUACAGUUCUUAGGACUUCUACUUCUGGGAACUUAAACAGUUGCUUGGUUAUAGAUUUCAAGACGUUGUCACUCAAAGGCUCAGAAUAUUCUAAGUCGAAGCACAAGAGAUGCAAAAAAGUCCUGCCACUUGGAUCCCGGAGUUGUGCUGAUUGAGGACAGUGCUCCAGUAUAGCUAGAGCAACCUGAAUCCUACCAGACUUUGCAGCCCUUAAUAAAGGUGUGAGACCCUCGUUGUCACGCAUAUAUACAACUGAAAUGUUAUUCGGAAUCAAGAUUUCCAAGAAAUCCAAAUUAUCCGAGGCUGAAUUUGCAUCUGCAUCCAGGCAGCAAAGUAACUGGAAAAGACAAGAUCAGUUUUGUGAGUCAUAUAAUCCCAGGUUUUACAACUUAUGGGAAUGGAGACUUUAGUAGAGAGAACGUACAGGUGGUUGUGAUGGAAGCAAGUCGAAAAUCGAGCAACCAUCAUUGUUAAUGAUGGUUAGUUCUUGCUGAGUUUCAGAUUUAAGGCAUCUCUGCAUCAAGAAUUUUGCAGUAACCAACUUUCCAGAUUUAACAGCUAAAUGCAACGGUGUGUUUCCAUCUUCAUCUUGUGCAGUUCUCAACCUGUCAACUCCAGGAAUGAUAUCAAAAAUUUCCUCACAUAGGUUAGCUGGGUCCUCAGACCCGUCAACAAGCUCGAGAUGCCUAAUGUUUAGAUGAUGCAGAAAUGUUCUACCCUGGGAAUCGAGGAUUUCCAUAGACUCAGGACAUACAUGAAGUACAUGUAAUGCAAGUCGAAUUCGACCAGAUUGGGCUGCUCUCAUAACAGGGGUCAUACCAUCCUCAUCCUUCUGGUAGGCCGGAGUAUUACUACGAAACAUCAGCCUGCGGACCAUAGUUUCUAGCUUCUCUUCAACUGCACCAUUUAUUUGGGGUUCAUGUUAGUGAAGAGACACUACAUGAGAAGUUAUAAAGAGUAUACAUUUUGUAUCUUGAGCAUUGAUAUUAUUGCUAUAUUCAUCCUGUUCUGAAUUAGUUUGUUACACCGUCUUAACUCUUAUAAAUUUUUGUAAUCAAAGAAAUGACAUGAUUUAAUGAUUCUUUGUACUGAUGUUAUUCAGGUGUAAGCAGGAAUAAUUAACAACCAUGCAUGCGUAAAC